UCGGAAGAGAUAACCGCUGAAAGCAUCUAAGCGGGAACUCGCCUUAAGAUGAGACGUAUCCUGGGGACUAGAUCCCCUUGAAGGGUCGUUCGAGACCAGGACGUUGAUAGGUCAGGUGUGUAAGCGCAGUAAUGCGUUCAGCUAACUGAUACUAAUUGCCCGUAAGGCUUGAUCCUAUAACA
rnacentral:rRNA from 1 species